rnacentral:rRNA from 1 species
UGGGGAAUAUUGGACAAUGGGCGCAAGCCUGAUCCAGCCAUGCCGCGUGAGUGAUGAAGGCCUUAGGGUUGUAAAGCUCUUUCGCCGGUGAAGAUAAUGACGGUAACCGGAGAAGAAGCCCCGGCUAACUUCGUGCCAGCAGCCGCGGUAAUACGAAGGGGGCUAGCGUUGCUCGGAAUCACUGGGCGUAAAGCGCACGUAGGCGGAUCGUUAAGUCAGGGGUGAAAUCCUGGAGCUCAACUCCAGAACUGCCCUUGAUACUGGCGAUCUCGAGUUCGAGAGAGGUUGGUGGAACUCCGAGUGUAGAGGUGAAAUUCGUAGAUAUUCGGAAGAACACCAGUGGCGAAGGCGGCCAACUGGCUCGAUACUGACGCUGAGGUGCGAAAGCGUGGGGAGCAAAACAGGAUUAGAUACCCUGGUAGUCCACGCCGUAAACGAUGGAUGCUAGCCGUUGGGGGGUUUACCUCUCAGUGGCGCAGCUAACGCCUUAAGCAUCCCGCCUGGGGAGUACGGUCGCAAGAUUAAAAACUCAAAGGAAUUGACGGGGUCAUAGCUG